GGCGAACGGGUGAGUAACACGUGGGUAAUCUGCCCUGCACUUCGGGAUAAGCCUGGGAAACCGGGUCUAAUACCGGAUAUGAGCUCCUGCCGCAUGGUGGGGGUUGGAAAGUUUUUCGGUGCAGGAUGAGUCCGCGGCCUAUCAGCUUGUUGGUGGGGUAAUGGCCUACCAAAGCGACGACGGGUAGCCGGCCUGAGAGGGUGAUCGGCCACACUGGGACUGAGACACGGCCCAGACUCCUACGGGAGGCAGCAGUGGGGAAUAUUGCACAAUGGGCGAAAGCCUGAUGCAGCGACGCCGCGUGGGGGAUGACGGUCUUCGGAUUGUAGACUCCUUUCAGUAGGGACGAAGCGAAAGUGACGGUACCUGCAGAAGAAGCACCGGCCAACUACGUGCCAGCAGCCGCGGUAAUACGUAGGGUGCAAGCGUUGUCCGGAAUUACUGGGCGUAAAGAGCUCGUAGGCGGUUUGUCACGUCGUCUG
rnacentral:rRNA from 1 species